GAGAAUGGAACACAAUCACUCUAUCUGCAGACGAUAAUUUAAAUCUUAAGAUAUGGGAAUUGGCAUUUUUAGCUGGAAAUUUUGAAGCUGAAAACCAGGAAUUUAAUGAUCAAGGAAAGAAACUUUAUUUCAACUGAUUUGCCCUUUCAGUACAUUAGUUAAGUAUACCUUUGUUAUUCCAGUCAGAGGUGGACACUGGUUUACCUGCAAUUUUAAUCAAUAUUUUUGCAGAUUGCUUUACCUUACAGGUGC
rnacentral:misc_RNA from 1 species